rnacentral:rRNA from 1 species
CAGCCGCCACGGUAAUACGUAGGCGGCAAGCGUUGUCCGGAAUUAUUGGGCGUAAAGGGAGCGCAGGUGGGACGGUAAGUCCGUCUUAAAAGGCAGGGGCUCAGCCCCUGUAAGGGAUGGAAACUAUCGAUCUUGAGUGCCGGAGAGGAAAGCGGAAUUCCCAGUGUAGCGGUGAAAUGCGUAGAUAUUGGGAAGAACACCAGUGGCGAAGGCGGCUUUCUGGACGGCAACUGACACUGAGGCUCGAAAGCCAGGGGAGCGAACGGGAUUAGAUACCCGUGUAGUCCCUGUCUCUUAUACA